UUUCUGCAUCCUAUUCAUUUCUCAACCAGCACGUCAACCCAAUGACGGCAAAACAGAUAGAAGAGCAAUGAUUAUCAGAAGGCAAGACGAUGAUCAUAAUAAGAAGCCAGCUCUAAUUUUAUCUCCGCCACCUUGCUGAAAGAUGGUAAUCUCUACACCCAGCAUGGGG